UACGAAGGGUGCAAACGUUGCUCGGAAUUAUUGGGCGUAAAGCGCACGUAGGCGGCUUUGCAAGUCGGAUGUGAAAUCCCUCGGCUUAACCAAGGAAGUGCAUCCGAAACUGCAGAGCUUGAGUACUUAAGAGGAUCGCGGAAUUCCAGGUGUAGCGGUGAAAUGCGUAGAUAUCUGGAGGAACACCGGUGGCGAAGGCGGCAUCCUGGACCGGUAUUGACGCUGAGGCGCGAAAGCCAGGGGAGCAAAGCGGG
rnacentral:rRNA from 1 species